rnacentral:rRNA from 1 species
AUUGAACGCUGGCGGCAUGCUUUACACAUGCAAGUCGAACGGCAGCGCGGGGGCAACCCUGGCGGCGAGUGGCGAACGGGUGAGUAAUGCAUCGGAACGUGCCCAGUAGUGGGGGAUAGCCCGGCGAAAGCCGGAUUAAUACCGCAUACGACCUAUGGGUGAAAGCGGGGGACCGUAAGGCCUCGCGCUAUUGGAGCGGCCGAUGUCAGAUUAGCUAGUUGGUGGGGUAAAGGCCUACCAAGGCGAAGAUGGUUAACCGGCCUGAGAGGGUGUACGGUCACAAUGGGACUGAGAUACGGCCCAUACUCCUACGGGAGGCAGCAGUGGGGAAUAUUGCACAAUGGGCGCAAGCCUGAUGCAGCGACGCCGCGUGAAGGAUGAAGGCUUUCGAGUCGUAACUUCUGUUAAGUGGGAGAAAUGCACAUGGUUAAUACCCAUGUGAGCUGACGGUACCACUAGAGAAAGCACCGGCUAACUUCGUGCCAGCAGCCG